GUACUCACUGGAAUAGACACUUUUUCUGGAUAUGCAUCUGUCUUCCCUGACAAAAAUGUUUCUGCAAGCCUUAACAUCUGUGGACUCAGUGCUUCAGAGUUCUUCAUUUCCAAGGGUGUAAUGUUUUCUCCAAGAGAUAAAAAUACUGUUUUAAUUUAAUUGGAUAUUGAAACUGCCACCAGUCCACUAUUGAGUUCUCAUCUUAUUGAACCAAUUGAUAAAGAAGAAAGUUACUCUACUGGUUACGUUGACUGAUCUCAAUUAUCAGAAGGAAAUUGAUUUCUUGAUCUACACUGGAGCAGAAAAGAUUAUGUCUAGAACACAGGGGAUUUUCUAAAGCUUCUCUUAUUCCACAUCCAACGGACAUUCCUGUAAGAAGUGGAUGGACAUGCCAGCAAAAUAAAAAGGGCUGAACUGUAUGGUCAGAAAAAGAAGAGGAAAUAAUUUAAACUCUAAUCCUCUCUCAGUUACUAAAGGUAUGCAUACUGAUUUUGAAGCCAGCAGCCUGCCAUGAGCCCAGGUUAGUGAAGGGAGGAUAAUGCUGUAGAGCAAUACAGGUACAGGUCAACCAAACUAAGACUGAAAUGACAGGGACAAUAGAGAAUUACAUUAUGCCCUCCAGUUCAAGGUGCAGCCAAGUUGGCCCAAAAAGAGACGCUAGUCUCCAGCAAAGUCCGGAGAGAACAGAGUAAGAUUUGAGCAGUGGAUGUCAGUGGCCAUGGACCUGCCUCCAUUGCCAUAAGGUUAUAUAAGCCCUGCUUUCGUAUCACUCUUACCUAAGAGAGCAAGGGAAUAGGAAUGAAAGUGCAUUUACAAGUAUCCCCAAAGACUGAGAGUUAUCUAAUAUGAUUGUGAUAUAAAAACCUGACAAAUAUUACACAAAUAUAAAGAUAGUUUAAGAAUAUGAAACCAAAUAUUCAAAGCAAACUUCAGGAAAAUUGAAUUCAGAAACAUGACUAGGUGUUGUUUGCCACUGGAUUGCAAAUUUAAAAAACACAAUGAUUAAUCUAUUGGAUGCUUAUCAAAAAAUAUACCUUCAGUUCAAAGAAAAGAACAACUGUGAUCAUCUGACUGCUAAAAGUAAUUUAAUAGUAUUUAAAUAUUUCUGAGAAACACUCUAAUUUAAAUAGAAAUGUAAGAACACAUCUUUACAUUACAAAAGAUAACUGUAUCAUAACAAUAAAAAUACUAUCCAAAAACCCAUUAACAGUAAACAAACCACAAGCAAUCCCAUUAAAGUCUCAAGUUGCCCAUUAUCAUCACUAAUAGUUAACAAUGCUUAACAAUGGCCUAAACAUUUUAGUUGAUACAACAAAACACUAACCACAAAUAAUACCUAUAGCUGUUAGACGGGAGAAAACAGAAUUAUGAGAGGUCUCCCUGAGUAUAAGUUGAGAGCUCAGACUUCAAGCCCAGAACAGCCUGGAUUAUACUCCAGGGCCUAUUCCUCACUAGCCACCACUCAAUAGCAUCAGGAACUUCAGAUAGUUACUUAACAUUAGUACCUCAGUUUACUCAUUUGUAAAAUAAGCAUAGUAAUAGCAUAUAUGACUAGUGUGAUUGUGAGGAUAAAUGAGGUAAUAUAGGUGAAAAUAAAUGCCCGAGAAGUGGUAAAUGUGUUUGCUAUAUUACACACACACACAAACACACACACAACAACCUUAGUCAAGUCAUUUUCACUCAUUUCUAUUGAUGAUUUUUGUCCAUAAAAUGAAAGCAAAAAUUGCCUUCUCAGCAUUGUGUCAAGAGUAUGAAAUAAAAUGUAUAUUUAAGUGAUUUUUGAUACUAUCACAUAAUACAAUUAUAAUAAACCAUAAUCACUAAUUAUAGUUUCAUUAUGAACUGUAUCUGUUACUGUAAAAAAGUAACCAAACUUUCAUCCCUAUCUCUGAAAUUAUUCUAAAAGUAAAAAGAAAAACCAAAACUCAACUAAAAAACUUAAACUUUUUAAAUUUAAAAUUUGUGCCUCAAGGACAUGAACAGACACUUCUCAAAAGAAGACAUACAAGCAGCCAACAAACACAAAAAUAAUCAGUAUCACUAAUCGUCAGAGAAAUGCAAAUCAAACCACAAUGACAUACCAUCUCACACAGUCAGAAUAGCUACGAUUAAGAAGUCAAAAAAUAACAUAUACUGACGAGACUGAGGAGAAAGGGGAACGCUCAUACAGUGCUGCUGGGAAAGUGGCUUUGUUAAGCCACUGUGGAAAGCAGUAUGAAGAUUUCUUAAAGAACUAAAAAUAGAAUUACCAUUUGACCCAGCAAUCCCAUUACUGGGUAUAUACCCAAAGGGAAAUAAAUCAUUCUACCUAAAAGACACAUGCACUCAUAUGUUCACUGCAGCACUAUUCACAAUAGCGAAGACAUGGAAUCAUCAAUCGGUGCCCAUCAAUGGUGGACUGACUAAAGAAAAUGUGGUACAUAUAUAUUAUGGAAUACUAUGCAGCCAUAAAAAGAACAAAAUAAUGUCCUUUGCAGCAAUAUGGAUGCAGCCAGAGGUCAUUAUCCUAAGCAAACUAACACAGAAACAGAAAACCAAAUAUUGCACAUUCCCACUUAUAAAUGGAAGCUAAAUCUUGGGUUCCUGUGGACAUAAAAUUGGGAACAAUAGACACUGGAGUCUUCAAAAGGGGGAAGAAAGGAAGGAGGGAAAGGGCUGAAAAACUUCCUAUUUGGUACUAUGUUCAUUAUCUGGGUGAUGGAAUAAAUAUAAGCCCAAACCUCAGCACUAUGAAAUACCCUCUUGUAACAGACCUGCACAUGUAUUUCCUGUAACU